rnacentral:rRNA from 1 species
UACGAAGGGGGCUAGCGUUGUUCGGAUUUACUGGGCGUAAAGCGCACGUAGGCGGAUCGUUAAGUCGGGGGUGAAAUCCUGGAGCUCAAUUCCAGAACUGCCUUCGAUACUGGCGAUCUCGAGUCCGGAAGAGGUGAGUGGAACUCCUAGUGUAGAGGUGGAAUUCGUAGAUAUUAGGAAGAACACCAGUGGCAAAGGCGGCUCACUGGUCCGGUACUGACGCUGAGGUGCGGAAAGCGUGGGGAGCGAACGAGGA